UAGAAGGUGGCUGAGUGGUCAAAAGCACUUGAUUGGAAACCAAGUUUUUUCGGAAACGCAGGUUCGAAUCCUGCUCUUCUCU
rnacentral:tRNA from 1 species